rnacentral:rRNA from 1 species
GACGAACGCUGGCGGCGUGCUUAACACAUGCAAGUCGAACGGAAAGGCCCUGCUUUUGUGGGGUGCUCGAGUGGCGAACGGGUGAGUAACACGUGAGUAACCUGCCCUUGACUUUGGGAUAACUUCAGGAAACUGGGGCUAAUACCGGAUAGGAGCUCCUGCUGCAUGGUGGGGGUUGGAAAGUUUCGGCGGUUGGGGAUGGACUCGCGGCUUAUCAGCUUGUUGGUGGGGUAGUGGCUUACCAAGGCUUUGACGGGUAGCCGGCCUGAGAGGGUGACCGGCCACAUUGGGACUGAGAUACGGCCCAGACUCCUACGGGAGGCAGCAGUGGGGAAUAUUGCACAAUGGGCGGAAGCCUGAUGCAGCAACGCCGGGUGCGGGAUGACGGCCUUCGGGUUGUAAACCGCUUGCGCCUGUGACGAAGCGUGAGUGACGGUAAUGGGUAAAGAAGCACCGGCUAACUACGUG